GCUCCGCCGGGACCAGCCGCACAGACCAUGACUGCAGCGCCUUAGACUGCUCGGCUAAUCCCGCGCGGCCGCAGAAGCAGCUUAUGUCUCCAGUGUCUAUGCCAUGGAAGAUGGCGUACAAUCUCCGUACCGCUGUGGGAUUCAGAAGAGCAGACUAUGAAAGCCUUACCAAUAGUCACCAACAAACCCAAGAUUAUGAACAUAACACUGGUAAUUCUUCGCCGCAACAUGGGAUUUUUUGUUUUCCCCUCCUCAUCUGGGUGUUUCCCAUUUUUAUCUGGUAGUGUAUAUAUGUGGAGAGUGCAACAAGGUUUUUGACAAAUACUAGUGCACGAAGGACACACAAUUUAAUUACAUUGUAAAUAUUUUUAACUUUUGUACCAAUCAAAAUGUUGAAAUAAGAUCUUUUACUACACAUAAUAACACAUUCAGAAGUUCUUGAAAAGAUGAGCACAGUGAUAUAAGCCUUGCUGAUGUUGGCACUUUUAGUAAAAAUAUCAGAGAAAUGUACUAAAAUUGAAAAGUAAGGUGGCCAGAAUUGGCUAUCAAAGUGUAAACAUAGCCAAGAUGGUCUCUCAUGAUAGUUACCAUCAUCAUUUUGAUUGUUAACUUAUUUUCAUGAAAGCUGUUCUCUCUAACAUGAGCAUGUACAUAUAUUUGAAAUCAUUUUCUUAAAGAUUUUCUCAUGCUAUUAGUUAACAGAUAAUUCCAUUUACAAAAAUUGUAGCUGAGUCUGUAUUUAUGUCAGGUAAAGAAUACCCAUGAGGAAACGUGCUUUACCUUAGUUAUGUAGUUCUCUUUCUUCCUGCAAAUAAUAACAGAGCCUGUCAUAAAAAAACAACUUUGGAUUAUUUAUGCAUAACAGCCAGUUAUGACCUUCAUGCCAUUCAGCUUGGGUACACUUCUUGCAUACUUUCGCAAAAAGUUUCAGUGUCAGCAAUAAAACGUUAUAUCACUGUACCCAUCUCUUCAAAAGCUUUUGAAUGCAUCCAAAUUAAAGCACCUGUACGAAGAGGGAGACACCUUACAACUAAAUAACAAUGGACAUAAAUCAUUACUUAUGUAUGUGGUGCCUGCUCCCUUGGACAUGUCUGAGAGAACAGUCAUAAUUUUGAUCCAGCAGCCAUUAUUAAUUAAGACACAAAGAAAUUGCAGACGUUGACUAUGAGUAGGCAUUGAUUUAAAUCAAUGGGAAAAUUUUAAAAUUUAUGCCAAUCCAGGAUUCGAAGCCAGGUCUCCUGCUUACUAGGCAGAUGCAAUGACAAUUGCAUCAUCCCGACAGAGGGGUCAUCACAACAACAUAGACUAUCCUAGCACACCUCAUGUCAGACGAAAAUUCCCAGCUUAUUCACAUAUUAGUAAUGUAGUCCCCCUUUCCCAAUAUUCUCUUUACUCACAGCAUUUUGCUGAUUCCCAGAAGAGUUUGAGGCUGGCAUGCACCCUCACUGAAGAGACCACUGGCCAUCCUUGCUUCAAUUCCAUAUAUGUGGUGUCUGUUCUUUCAAACAUGGAUGCCCACUGUCUGCCUGCAGCCAAUGUCUGUAAUUUCUUUGUAUCUUAGUGUAUCAUUACUGUCAGCCUUCUCAAAAGGGAUUGAAAAUAUCAUGGACCCUCCUAUCCACUAUUUAUAUUGAUGACAUUAGGGCCCCUGUAAAUAAUGCACAAAUUCAUUGUUUGCUGAUGAUACAAAUGCUGCAAUAAUGGACACAAAUAUGGCAUUGCCAAACACUGCAAGUAGAGUACUGGGCUCCAUACAUAAAUUAUUUGUCACAAAUUUCCCGACUUUGAGUCACUCAAAAGCAAUUUUAUUAAUUUCAUGGAAACAAAGUCUCAGCAAGAAUCCAUCUUCAGUAUUAAUAAUGACCAGACAGGGAGGGCAGCUACUUAGGUUUUAAUCCAGCUGAAAAAUUAGACUAGAAGGUCGAUAUUCUACAGCUCACAAAUAAACUGAACCCUGCUUACUUUGCUUUGUGUUUAAUAUGAAACAUGUACAGCACUGAAUGUGCAAAAGUUACACUUUUUUGUAUUUACACUUUGUAGUUGUGUAUAGGAUCACACAAUGGAGGCAUGGUAAAACACACCACAAUAUUGUUUUUGUCUUACAAAAAUGGUCUGUAAGAAUAACAACAAAUAGUUCCAGAUUAACAUGCUCCAAACAACUGUUUGUUCAGUGAGACAUAACUCCUUUUUCUUGAAUUUAUAUCCAAAAAAAGUCUAAUUAGCAUAAAAUUAGACUAAGCUGAGAAUACUUAGGAUUUGCAACAAUACAAACAAAAAUACGAGUGACAAUUUCCAUGUAAUAAGGGUAAAUGAGGCCAUAACACAGAAAUAUUUAACCAUAUUUGGUAUCAGACUGUACAAAAAUCUUCUUGACUCCAUAAAAACAAUUAAGGUGACACCUGUGCUGGAAGACACAGAUUUCAAAUAUCUCAUGCUAAACUGCUUCUAUGGUGUGAGUGAUUACUUGCUUCAAAUGCGAUAAACAGUUGCUGAAUCUUACAAGAAAGGGCUGUAAUGUCAUCAUAUACGUAAGAUGUUAAUGUUGUGUAAUCACACAAUAAUUCCUUUCUGUUCAUUAUUCUAUGCUUCAUAUAUGGUACAUUGUUUUGGAUCAGUUGAAUUGUGAUUAAAUAAAACUGUAUAUUUCUUC